GCGGCGUGCUUCAUACAUGCAAGUCGAACGAGAAGCAGGAGCUUGCUCCUGUGGAAAGUGGCGGACGGGUGAGUAACACGUAGGAAUUCUGCCUUUGGGUGGGGGACAACAGUUGGAAACGACUGCUAAUGCCCCAUAUGAGCUUGGUUGCAAUACCAAUCUUGAAAACUCCGGUGCCUAAAGAUGAGCCUGCGUCUGAUUAGCUUGUUGGCGGGGUAAUGGCCCACCAAGGCGACGAUCAGUAGCUGGUUUGAGAGGAUGAUCAGCCACAAUGGGACUGAGACACGGCCCAUACUCCUACGGGAGGCAGCAGUAGGGAAUUUUGCGCAAUGGGGGAAACCCUGACGCAGCAACGCCGCGUGAAUGACGAAGCCCUUCGGGGUGUAAAGUUCUGUCAGUAGGGAAGAAUUUUGACUGCACCUACAAAGGAAGCACCGGCUAACUCCGUGCCAGCCGCCGCAGUAA
rnacentral:rRNA from 1 species